rnacentral:rRNA from 1 species
AAGAACCUUACCUGGUCUUGACAUCCACGGAAGUUUUCAGAGAUGAGAAUGUGCCUUCGGGAACCGUGAGACAGGUGCUGCAUGGCUGUCGUCAGCUCGUGUUGUGAAAUGUUGGGUUAAGUCCCGCAACGAGCGCAACCCUUAUCCUUUGUUGCCAGCGGUCCGGCCGGGAACUCAAAGGAGACUGCCAGUGAUAAACUGGAGGAAGGUGGGGAUGACGUCAAGUCAUCAUGGCCCUUACGACCAGGGCUACACACGUGCUACAAUGGCGCAUACAAAGAGAAGCGACCUCGCGAGAGCAAGCGGACCUCAUAAAGUGCGUCGUAGUCCGGAUUGGAGUCUGCAACUCGACUCCAUGAAGUCGGAAUCGCUAGUAAUCGUGGAUCAGAAUGCCACGGUGAAUACGUUCCCGGGCCUUGUACACACCGCCCGUCACACCAUGGGAGUGGGUUGCAAAAGAAGUAGGUAGCUUAACCUUCGGGAGGGCGCUUACCACUUUGUGAUUCAUGACUGGGGUGAAGUCGUAACAAGGUAACCGUAGGGGAACCUGCGGUUGGAUCAC